CCCCCUACACACAAACACACACUUCCCGCCUCAGUGCGAGGGUCGCGGGCAGGAGCGGGGACCGUCCCCUCAGAGAGGGACGGGUGUGAUGUCGAUGGCGCCCUCCGUGAAACAGGGACGGGACAGCGAAGGUGGCGAGAGCCAGGCGGCACCUUAGCGGGGACAGUCCGCGGGGCCGAGCGCCGGGGUUCCCGGGCUGCCCCCGCCACCGCCCUCCCCACCGGCUGACAUUUGCCAUGCGCAGACAACACGCACUUCACCAAACAAUUCAACCCGAGCCCCGCUGCAAACUCGCUGGGUUAUUUUUCUCCUCGUUCUCCGCUUGUUUAUGGCUGACGCUAUCUCGCCUGCACCGCUCCCUCGGUUUCAUUAUCUCUUCUCGCAGAUGGACCGUGGCUUUCCUUCUUCACAGGGCUUCUCUCUGCUGGUGCUAGAGCUCCCUCUCCUCUCCCCAGCUCUGCAUCCCUCACCCUUGCUCACAGGUGAGCCUUCUCCAGUGAAGCGCUUCACUCCAGCCUCCCUUCCUCCUGCAGUCCCUUCUCCUCUGAAGAACCCAGCAUCCCGUAAAAUAAAGCCAAUGGCUCUAAUGUAAUAAUAGUGACAUUGUGGCCAUGGGAGCAGGGCAGUGACCAUCCCCUGUACUGGGCACCUCCAAUCCCGGGGAUUAAAGAAGUGCAACAGUUUCCAAGGAUUCAAAGGUGUGGUGGGAAAAGAAAAAAAGUUUUUUACCUCAUUGGCAGAGAAUUUAAGAUGGGUGUAACAGCCAGUGUGUCCCUAAGGCAGCACCUGAGUGGGUCAUGUCUGUCACAUCCUUUAAGGAAGAUGCUUCCUCUGGAUCACUUUCUUAGCCAGCACAAUGAGCCAUCCUGGUAGAGCUGGGAGCCUCCAUGCAGGCUGGAUCCUGAGCCCUGGCUUCAUUCUGGACUUGGUUGUGCUUCUUCCCUGUGGAGAACUCUGACCACCCUUCCAAAAUACUCUGGGACUGCUUUCCUUUCUCAGAGGAAAAUUAGUUAGAGGAAAUAUUUCACAGAGCAAUAGCUGGGCAAAUGCAAAUCCUCCUUGCAGAGUUCUUUUAACUUCAAGCCACUAAAUACACAUUUAGUCUAUGGAACUGUAUUUACUUCCCCUCUCAGAGGAACAAGCUUUGUCAGCUGUAAUGAUGAGCUGUUGUUUGACAUUCAUAAUAUUGUACUUGACUGCUUAUCUGAUGGAGGCAUGCAAAGCUAUUUAGGGGCUUCUGAAAUGUGACAGCCCACAUGAUGCUUUUUUAGACUUCACAAACCGCCUUCAGGAGGCAGGAGAACAUGGCUGGCUGCAACAACAGCCUGCCUUAAUGCCAGAGGGGCUGCUGGGGCUGGGGAGGAGGAAUGGCCUUUGAAAGUUUGCAGCUUUUGUUGUGUGCAGUCAAAGGAAGAGCUUGCAGCCUGAACAGGCAUCAUGGAUGCCAUGGGUGAGGACUGUGGGGAUUACUGAUCCUGCCUGGAAACAGCACAAAGAUGGAGGCAAGGAUGUUAAAACCUGUUUGGACCAUCCACAGACAGAAGGGGGCUCAAGGGAGACAGCUCAG